CACGUAGGGUGCGAGCGUUGUCCGGAAUUAUUGGGCGUAAAGAGCUCGUAGGCGGUGUGUUGCGUCGGCCGUGAAAACCUGCAGCUUAACUGUGGGCUUGCGGUCGAUACGGGCAUCACUGGAGUUCGGCAGGGGAGACUGGAAUUCCUGGUGUAGCGGUGAAAUGCGCAGAUAUCAGGAGGAACACCGGUGGCGAAGGCGGGUCUCUGGGCCG
rnacentral:rRNA from 1 species